rnacentral:rRNA from 1 species
CCUACGGUGGGCAGCAGUAGGGAAUCUUCCACAAUGGACGAAAGUCUGAUGGAGCAACGCCGCGUGAGUGAAGAAGGGUUUCGGCUCGUAAAGCUCUGUUGGUAGUGACGAAAGAUAGAGGUAGUAACUGGCCUUUAUUUGACGGUAAUUACUUAGAAAGUCAAGGCUAACGACUUGCCAGCAGCCGCGGUAAUACGUAGGUGGCAAGCGUUGUCCGGAUUUGUUGGGCGUAAAGCGACUGCCGGAGGUUCAAUAAGUCUGAUGUGAAAGCCUUCGGCUCAACCGGAGCAUUGCAUCAGAAACGGUUGUAGUUGAGUGCAGAAGAGGAGAGUGGAACUCCAUGUGUAGCGGUGGAAUGCGUAGAUAUAUGGAAGAACACCAGUGGCGAAGGCGGCUCUCUGGUCUGCAACUGACGCUGAGGCUCGAAAGCAUGGGUAGCGAACAGGAUUAGAUACCCGGGUAGUC